GUGAGGAAUAUUGGUCAAUGGGCGAGAGCCUGAACCAGCCAAGUCGCGUGAAGGAAGAAGGAUCUAUGGUUCGUAAACUUCUUUUGCAGGGGAAUAAAGUGCGGGACGUGUCCUGUUUUGUAUGUACCCUGAGAAUAAGGAUCGGCUAACUCCGUGCCAGCAGCCGCGGUAAUACGGAGGAUCCGAGCGUUAUCCGGAUUUAUUGGGUUUAAAGGGUGCGUAGGUGGUUUGAUAAGUCAGCGGUGAAAGUUUGCAGCUUAACUGUAAAAAUGCCGUUGAAACUGUCUGACUUGAGUGUAAAUGAGGUAGGCGGAAUGCGUGGUGUAGCGGUGAAAUGCAUAGAUAUCACGCAGAACUCCGAUUGCGAAGGCAGCUUACUAAGCUACAACUGACACUGAAGCACGAAAGCGUGGGGAUCAAACAGGAUUAGAAACCCGUGUAGUCC
rnacentral:rRNA from 1 species